CUCGUCUCUACUACAAAUACAAAAUCAACUGGGCGUGGCGGCAGGCGCCUGUAAUCCCAGCCACUCGGGAGGCUGAGGCAGGAAAAUCACCUCUGUGGAAUGGGACAGAGCUUCUGGGACAGGGUCACAGAUACUGAGAACAAAGUCACUGGCACCCAGUAGGUGCUCGAUGGGUGGUGAUGAUGCUGUAGGACAGGCGAGGGAUGCAUUUGUACAUGUUGAUUGUUCUAACAUGCAUGCCUCCUGGAAGAUGGCGCCGGGGCUCUCUGCCUGGAGAGGGAGGAGUGAUUUGGUGGUUCUCCUGAUGCACCUAUCGGGUUACCCUAAUGGGUCCAAAUGAAAAGGCGUGUGUCACAGCUGAUGAGCCGUCUGGAGCUUGGUCAGUGGAGGCCGCCGUCUUCCUGCCUGUGCACAUCAGCUGCGUGUGUGCCCAGGUCUCCCAGGAGGCAAAAGAUUGUCGACGCCCCCACAGCUGAGGGGAGCCUCUGCCCCUGCACUACAACGGGCCCCGGUUCCCUCCUCUCACCCUGAACUCAUACCAGAGGAAAAACCAAAGCAGGGACACGUCUGGCUUGUGUGGUGCUGAGCACCCCGUCAUGGGAGGUAUUCAAGAAGAAGCUGGAUGACUAGAGCACAGAGGAAGGGGAGGGUGGGAGGUCGAAGGUUAGGGCUCUGUGUUCGUGUCUAAGUGCCCACCCUGAGCCAGGCUGGACACACAGCUGAGGCCUCUGAGGGUUUGGGACCAUGAGGAGUGAGGCUUGCCAGGGGGCAUGUGGAGAAGGCCUACCCAGUGCCUGAGGCUGAGGCAGCGCUUCCUACAGGGGCUUGAGAAGGGGCAUGGCCGGAGCUUGGGCCUCCUGAGCCAGAGAGGGAGUCAGGAUUUGCUUGGGGAGCUGCAGCUCGGUCUUCCCUGAACCCCAGCCUCCUCUGGCUGCAGCAUGAAGAGGGGUUGGGGGUGGGGACAAGAAUCAAAAUGCAGCCAGGGGGAAUCUAACGCUGGAGUCAGGAUGGCUUCAGAGCAGCUCUCGUCUGCCCUUCAACUUCCCUGUGAGCGGGCUCAUUCCCGGCCACCCCCAGCCAAGCUGGCCCUCCAACCCCGCAUCACCCUACAGCUAUUUCUCUUUAUAGACUCCUCUUCCUCACUCCCUGUAGAAACGAAUCUGGCAUAAAAGAAGUCUCACCAAGGU